UACGUAGGGACCAAGCGUUGUUCGGAUUUACUGGGCGUAAAGGGCGCGUAGGCGGCAAUUCAAGUCAUCUGUGAAAUCUCCGGGCUUACUCGGAACGGUCAGAUGAUACUGCUUUGCUAGAGUGCAGAAGGGGCAAUCGGAAUUCUUGGUGUAGCGGUGAAAUGCGUAGAUAUCAAGAGGAACACCUGAGGUGAAGACGGGUUGCUGGGCUGACACUGACGCUGAGGCGCGAAGCCAGGGGAGCAAACGGG
rnacentral:rRNA from 1 species